AUGUGAAGUUGUUAAUGGAGGUGAACUUAAGUCUAGACGACAUUUGAAUGUUUGAGGAAAAAGUGCUACAUUGCCAUCUAUUACUGAAAAGGAUUGGGAUGACAUUAAGUUUGGGGUUGAAAAUAAAGUAGACUUUUAUGCUGUUUCCUUUGUCAAAGAUGCGAAAGUGGUCCACAAAUUGAAGGAUUAUCUCUGAAGCUGUGGUGCAGAUAUACAUGUAACUGUUAAAAUUGAAAGUGCAAACUCCAUACCAAAUCUGCAUUCUAUCAUUUCUACAUCUGAUGGGG